UGGAUGAGUGGCGAACGGGUGAGUAACACGUGAGUAACCUGCCCCCUUCUUUGGGAUAACGCCCGGAAACGGGUGCUAAUACUGGAUAUUCACUGAUCUUCGCAUGGGGGUUGGUGGAAAGGUUUUUUCUGGUGGGGGAUGGGCUCGCGGCCUAUCAGCUUGUUGGUGGGGUGAUGGCCUACCAAGGCUUUGACGGGUAGCCGGCCUGAGAGGGUGACCGGUCACAUUGGGACUGAGAUACGGCCCAG
rnacentral:rRNA from 1 species